rnacentral:lncRNA from 1 species
UUUGUAGUAGUACACAGGUGGUGGAGGUGACUUGUAAACAUAAGUCGGCGAUGGUGGAGGUGGUGACUUGUAAACAUAAGUGGGAGCCGGUGGAGGUGGAGACUUAUAGUAGUAUGGAGGUUGUUCCACAUGUUUUGGUGGUGGUGGAGACUUGUAGUAGUACACAGGAGGUGGAGGUGACUUGUAAACAUAAGUGGGAGCCGGUGGAGGUGGAGACUUAUAGUAGUAUGGAGGCUGUUCCACAUGCUUUGGUGGUGGUGGAGACUUGUAGUAGUACGCAGGAGGUGGAGGUGACUUGUAAACAUAAGUUGGUGAUGGUGGAGGUGGUGACUUGUAAACAUAAGUGGGAGCCGGUGGAGGUGGAGACUUAUAAUAGUACGGUGGUGGCUUGUACGGAUGAGUCGGAGGCUUAGGAGUGUACUUUUCACACUUCUUGUAAGGUUUCUUUGAACCAUAACCAAAUGGCUUAGCUCUAAGCACAACCUCGUACUUGUCCUCUGACUUGACCUUGAGCACAGCACCCUCGAUGCCAUCAUGUACACUCAUGGGUAUGUUGCAUGAUGAACCCUUAGGUGGGGC